rnacentral:rRNA from 1 species
UACGUAGGGUGCAAGCGUUGUCCGGAAUUAUUGGGCGUAAAGAGCUCGUAGGCGGUCUGUCGCGUCUGCUGUGAAAAUCCAGGGCUCAACCCUGGACCUGCAGUGGGUACGGGCAGACUAGAGUGCGGUAGGGGAGAUCGGAAUUCCUGGUGUAGCGGUGAAAUGCGCAGAUAUCAGGAGGAACACCGGUGGCGAAGGCGGAUCUCUGGGCCGUAACUGACGCUGAGGACCGAAAGCAUGGGGAGCGAACAGG